rnacentral:ncRNA from 1 species
UUCGGUGCGCGCGGAUGAAAAGGGAAUGCCGUGCGAUUCGGCAACAGUUCCCGCUGCUGUAAGCCGCAGCAAACGCUCCGAUACUCCUCAGCCACUGCCCCGCACCGGGGCGGGAAGGCAUCGGAGCGGCGGCAAGUCAGAAGACCUGCCGGUGCA